rnacentral:rRNA from 1 species
GUGGUCAAGCUACUAAGGGCGUAUGGUGGAUGCCUUGGCAUCGUCUGCCGAAGAAGGACGUGGUACACUGCGAUAAGUUCCGGUCAGGUGUGUGCAACCGUGACGAGCCGGAAAUGUCCGAAUGGGGAAACCCACGCGGGGUGUAUACCUGCGUAUCCUGUGCUGAACCCAUAGGCACAGCGAAGGGAACCCGGGGAACUGAAACAUCUUAGUACCCGGAGGAAAAGAGAACAUUCCGCGAGUAGUGGCGAGCGAAAGCGGAACAGCCCGUUGCCCAUCAAAAGGAUAGCCCAAGUGGUCUGGAAAGCCACACCAGAGAGGGUGAAAGUCCCGUCGGCGAAAUCCCUAUCGGGCGACCUAGCGAGUAGCACCGGACACGCUAACCCGGUGUGAAGAUGGGGAGUCCACUCUCCAAGGCUAAAUACAGACGAUGACCGAUAGUGCAGCAGUACCGUGAGGGAAAGGUGAAAAGAACCCCGGCGAGGGGAGUGAAAUAGAACCUGAAACCAUAUGCUUACAAGCAGUCAAAGUCCCAUAUGUGGAUGAUGGCGUGCCUUUUGGAGAAUGAGCCGCCGAGUUAAUGGUUGUGGCAAGCUUAAGGGAGAGACACCCGGAGGCGCAGCGAAAGCGAGUCUGAAUAGGGCGCAGAGUGGCAACCAUUAGACACGAAACCUGGUGAGCUACCCAUGGGCAGAUUGAAGCGCGGCUAACCCCGCGUGGAGGAUCGAACCGGUAAAUGUUACAAAAUUUUCGGAUGACCUGUGGGUAGGGGUGAUAUGCCAAACGAACCAGGAGAUAGCUUGUUCUCUCCGAAAUAGCUUUAGGGCUAGCGUCUGAGGUUCAGCUGGGGAGGUAGAGCACUGGCAGGGCUAGGGGGCGCAAGCUUACCAAACCCUACCAAACUCCGAAUGCCCCUGCUCCAGACUCAGGCAGUCGGACGGCGUGAGAUGAGUUUCGUCGUCGAGAGGGAAACAACCCAGACCCUCGGCUAAGGUCCCCAAGUCGGUGUUAAGUGGCAAACGAUGUGGGAAUGUUUAGACAGCCAGGAGGUUGGCUUAGAAGCAGCCAUCCUUUAAAGAGUGCGUAAUAGCUCACUGGUCAAACGUUCCUGCGCGGAUAAUGUAACGGGGCUCAAACACCGCACCGAAGCCCGGGAGCAGCAAUGCUGGUAGGAGAGCGUUGCCUGUGCGUUGAAGAUCGACCGGCAAGGACGGUUGGAGCGCAGGCAAGUGAGAAUGGUGGCAUGAGUAGCGAGAAAUAGGUGAGAACCCUAUUCGCCGUAAGUCUAAGGUUUCCGACGGAAGGUCAGUCCGCGUCGGGUUAGUCGGGCCUUAGCCGAGGCCGAAAGGCGUAGGUGAUGGACAACGGGUUAAUAUUCCCGUACCAGCUUGUGGAGCACAGGCGGGACGGGGCCAGAUCAUCCAGCCUCUGAGUGGAUUGAGGUGGCAAGCGGGUCACGCCCGUGAUGCCGGCGCUUCGGCGCACAAGUGGAUAAGUCUGGCCUCCAAGAAAAGCGCACUGGCGUCGAAGCAAGCUGACCGUACCGCAAACCGACACUGGUAGACGGGUAGAAAAUACCAAGGCGAACGGGAGAACCUCUGCUAAGGAAUUAGGCAAAAUAGCCCCGUAACUUCGGGAGAAGGGGCGCCCCCGCGAGGGGGCCGCAGUGAAAGGGUCCUGGCGACUGUUUAACAAAAACACAGGUCGCUGCAAACGCGCAAGCGGACGUAUAGCGGCUGACGCCUGCCCAGUGCCGGAAGGUUAAGAGGAGGGGUGCGAGCUCUGAAUUGAAGCCCCGGUGAACGGCGGCCGUAACUAUAACGGUCCUAAGGUAGCGAAAUUCCUUGUCGGGUAAGUUCCGACCCGCACGAAUGGCGUAACGAUCAGGACACUGUCUCAGCAGGGGACCCGGCGAAAUUGAAAUACGUGUAAAGAUGCACGUUACCCGCAGCAGGACAAAAAGACCCCGUGGAGCUUUACUAUAGCUUGCUAUUGCGUUAGGGCGCAGCUUGUGCAGGAUAGCUGGGAGGCUUUGAAGCUGGGGCGUCAGCCUCGGUGGAGCCGUCGGUGAGAUACCAGCCUGGUUGCGCUUUGGCCCUAACCCUGGACCGUCAGCCGGCCAGGGGACAGUGGCAGGUGGGUAGUUUGACUGGGGCGGUCGCCUCCUAAAAGGUAGCGGAGGCGCCCAAAGGUUGGCUCAGGGUGAAUGGAAACCACCCGCAGAGUGUAAGGGCACAAGCCAGCUUGACUGCCAGACCAACGCGUCGCGCAGAGUCGAAAGACGGGCCUAGUGAUCCCACGAUACCGUGUGGAAGGGUCGUGGCUUAUCGGAUAAAAGCUACCCCGGGGAUAACAGGGUAGUCUGGUCCAAGAGUUCACAUCGACGACCAGGUUCGCCACCUCGAUGUCGGCUCAUCACAUCCUGGGGCUGGAUCAGGUCCCAAGGGUUGGGCUGUUCGCCCAUUAAAGUGGUACGUGAGCUGGGUUCAGACCGUCGUGAGACAGGUCGGUCUCUACCCGCUGUGGGCGUAGGAAGUUUGCGGAGGGCUGCCCCUAGUACGAGAGGACCGGGGUGGACGGAGCGCUCGUGUGCCGGUUGUCGCGCCAGCGGCAUCGCCGGGUAGCGAUCUCCGGAGGGGAUAACCGCUGAAAGCAUCUAAGCGGGAAGCCCACUCCAAGAUGAGACUUCCCACCGCAAGGUUAAGACCGCUGGUAGACCACCAGCUUGAUAGGUUGGGCGUGGACGCGUGGCAACACGUGGAGCGGACCAAUACUAAUGGUCGAGGGCUUCAUCAC